CCUACGGGAGGCAGCAGUGGGGGAUAUUGCACAAUGGGGGAAACCCUGAUGCAGCGACGCCGCGUGGGUGAAGAAGCGCCUCGGCGCGUAAAGCCCUUUCAGCAGGGAAGAAAAUGCCGGUACCUGAAGAAGAAGCCCCGGCUCACUACGUGCCAGCAGCCGCGGUAAUACGUAGGGGGCAAGCGUUAUCCGGAGUUACUGGGUGUAAAGGGGGCGCAGGCGGGGAUGCAAGCCAGGAGUGAAAGCCCGGGGGCCAACCCCGGGACUGCUCUUGGAACUGCGUGGCUAGAGUGCAGGAGGGGCAGGCGGAAUUCGUGGUGUAGCGGUGAAAUGCGUAGAUAUCAGGAGGAACACCGGUGGCGAAGGCGGCCUGCUGGACUGCAACUGACGUUGAGGCCCGAAAGCGUGGGGAGCGAACAGGAUUAGAUACCCUGGUAGUC
rnacentral:rRNA from 1 species